GGGCCUGGCUGUGGCUACACAUGCAAGUCGAACGGCAGCACAGAGGAGCUUGCUCCUUGGGUGGCGAGUGGCGGACGGGUGAGGAAUACAUCGGAAUCUACUUUUUCGUGGGGGAUAACGUAGGGAAACUUACGCUAAUACCGCAUACGACCUACGGGUGAAAGCAGGGGACCUUCGGGCCUUGCGCGAUUGAAUGAGCCGAUGUCGGAUUAGCUAGUUGGCGGGGUAAAGGCCCACCAAGGCGACGAUCCGUAGCUGGUCUGAGAGGAUGAUCAGCCACACUGGAACUGAGACACGGUCCAGACUCCUACGGGAGGCAGCAGUGGGGAAUAUUGGACAAUGGGCGCAAGCCUGAUCCAGCCAUACCGCGUGGGUGAAGAAGGCCUUCGGGUUGUAAAGCCCUUUUGUUGGGAAAGAAAUCCAGCCGGCUAAUACCUGGUUGGGAUGACGGUACCCAAAGAAUAAGCACCGGCUAACUUCGUGCCAGCAGCCGCGGUAAUACGAAGGGUGCAAGCGUUACUCGGAAUUACUGGGCGUAAAGCGUGCGUAGGUGGUUGUUUAAGUCUGUUGUGAAAGCCCUGGGCUCAACCUGGGAACUGCAGUGGAAACUGGACAACUAGAGUGUGGUAGAGGGUAGCGGAAUUCCCGGUGUAGCAGUGAAAUGCGUAGAGAUCGGGAGGAAACAUCCAUGGCGAAAGGCCGCUACCUUGGACCAACACUGACACUGAGGCACGAAAGCGUGGGGAGCAAACAGGAAUU
rnacentral:rRNA from 2 species